rnacentral:rRNA from 1 species
AACGGGGUGCUUGCACCCAGUGGCGAACGGGUGAGUAACACGUAUCUAAUCUACCUUUUAGUGGGGGAUAACAGUUGGAAACGACUGCUAAUACCGCAUACGACACCUUUGGCAUCAAAAGGUGUUAAAAGACCCGUUUGGGUCGCUAGAAGAUGAGGAUGCGGCGUAUUAGCUAGUAGGUAAGGUAAUGGCUUACCUAGGCAAUGAUACGUAGCCGAACUGAGAGGUUGAUCGGCCACAUUGGGACUGAGAUACGGCCCAGACUCCUACGGGAGGCAGCAGUAGGGAAUUUUUCACAAUGGGCGAAAGCCUGAUGAAGCAAUGCCGCGUGAGUGAUGACAGUCUUCGGAUUGUAAAGCUCUGUUGUAAGGGAAGAACAGCUAGAAGAGGAAAUGCUUUUAGUUUGACGGUACCUUACCAGAAAGCCACGGCUAACUAUGUG